rnacentral:rRNA from 1 species
UACGUAGGGUGCGAGCGUUGUCCGGAAUUAUUGGGCGUAAAGGGCUCGUAGGCGGUUUGUCACGUCAGGAGUGAAAACUCGGGGCUCAACCCCGAGCCUGCUUCUGAUACGGGCAGACUAGAGGUAUGCAGGGGAGAACGGAAUUCCUGGUGUAGCGGUGAAAUGCGCAGAUAUCAGGAAGAACACCCGUGGCGAAGGCGGCUCUCUGGGACGGUACUGACGCUGAGACGCGAAAGCGUGGGGAGCGAACAGG